rnacentral:rRNA from 1 species
CGGACGGGUGAGUAACGCGUGGGUAACCUGCCUUGUACAGGGGGAUAACAGUCAGAAAUGACUGCUAAUACCGCAUAAGCGCACAGGACCGCAUGGUCCGGUGUGAAAAACUCCGGUGGUAUAAGAUGGACCCGCGUUGGAUUAGCUAGUUGGUGAGGUAACGGCCCACCAAGGCGACGAUCCAUAGCCGGCCUGAGAGGGUGAUCGGCCACACUGGGACUGAGACACGGCCCAG